UGAGGAAUAUUGGUCAAUGGGCGAAAGCCUGAACCAGCCAAGUAGCGUGCAGGAUGACGGCCCUACGGGUUGUAAACUGCUUUUAGGCGGGGGUAAAGGGGCGGACGUGUUCCGCCUUUGCAAGUACCGCCAGAAAAAGGACCGGCUAAUUCCGUGCCAGCAGCCGCGGUAAUACGGAAGGUCCGGGCGUUAUCCGGAUUUAUUGGGUUUAAAGGGAGCGUAGGCGGGCUAUUAAGUCAGCUGUGAAAUCCGGCGGCUCAACCGUCGGCCUGCAGUUGAUACUGGUGGCCUUGAGUGCGCGCAGGGGCGUUGGAAUUCAUGGUGUAGCGGUGAAAUGCUCAGAUAUCAUGAAGAACUCCGAUCGCGAAGGCAGAUGCCCGGAGCGCAACUGACGCUGAGGCUCGAAAGUGCGGGUAUCAAACAGGA
rnacentral:rRNA from 1 species